rnacentral:tmRNA from 1 species
GGGGAUGACAGGUUUCGACUUGUGACGGAUGUUUCAAGGGAAGCGGGUCGAGGGUCCAGGGGCGUCUCGUUAACGAACUCUGGGAAAAACAAUAAGUGCCAACUCUACGCGCACUAACUUCGCUCUGGCCGCCUGAUCGGCCACCGAAGGGUCAGCUCGGACACGCCUGCGGUCCGAUGUCUGGCCUGGUUUAGCAGGCUUGCUGCGUUAGCCGCGUCUCAGGGCUAGCGCGGGACUUUUCUGAGGCUGGGCCUACCAGCUCUGGCCGGCGAGCGGCUGGGGGCCGAGAAACCAGCAGUCGGCUGCACCCGGAGAAUACUUGGAAGUCUGCAUAAGGACGGGGGUUCGAUUCCCCCCAUCUCCACGC